rnacentral:lncRNA from 1 species
AUUGCAGAGCUACCGCUUCGGUUAGCCAGCCACGAAGUUCUCGCGAGAGUCGUCUCCUCGAUACCAAGCGCCUGUGUCUGGCAGAGCUGGUGUGAGACGAGACAAUCCUGCCCCGCCGCCGGGAUAAUCAAGAGUUUUGGCCGGACCUUUGAGCAUACACCGAGAGAGUGAGGAGCCAGACGACAAGCACACACUAUGGCGCUGAAACGGAUUAAUAAGGAACUUAGUGAUUUGGCCCGUGACCCUCCAGCACAAUGUUCUGCAGGUCCAGUUGGGGAUGAUAUGUUUCAUUGGCAAGCCACAAUUAUGGGACCUAAUGACAGCCCAUAUCAAGGCGGUGUAUUCUUUUUGACAAUUCAUUUUCCUACAGACUACCCCUUCAAACCACCUAAGGCAAGUAUUUUCCCUCAAAAUCUGUUAGUAUAGAUUUAUGCUUUAUUUCAAAGGAAUAGAGCAUUCUUGGAAGAUAGGGUUCUGUGUAGGCUGUAUAUAUAUGUUGAAUUGCACUCAUGUAUAGAUGCUGACUCUUAACCUUUGGUUUAAAGAGCUAGACCUCAGUUUGAGCUUUGUAAAUAGGAAUAAGG